rnacentral:misc_RNA from 1 species
CCGAGGCUCUCUUGGUCCGGCAGGAUGAGAAGCACGAAUGCGAUAAGUAAUGUGAAAGCAGAAUUCCGUGAUCACGAUCUUUGACGCACAUGCGCCCUCUGGUAUUCCGGGGGGCAUGCCUGUUCGAGCGUCAUUUCAACCCCUCAAGCCCGGCUUGUGUGAUGGCGACCGUCCGGCCCCCUCUUUCGGGGGCGGGACGCGCCCGAAAAGCAGUGGCCAGGCCGCGAUCCGGCUUCCUGGGCGAAUGGGCAGUCAACCAGCGCCCUCGGCCGGCCGCUCUGGCCUUCCCCCAAUCUCUCUG